UUAAAUGAUACUUUCAUUGGGUUUAGAAGUAGUAACAUUCUCUUGUCUUCCCCUCUCUCUACCAUUGGUCAGACUUAUUCUCUAGUAACUCAAGAUGAAAAACAGAGAGAAAUCCUAACUAUCCAACAGAGUCUGUUGGGAAUUUAGGAAAUAGGAGGUCUGAUGAAUAUAAAUCUCAGUACGGGAAUUUUUCUAAGAAAAAACAAUCUCAUGUGUAACUAUUGCAAAAAGAGAAGAUAUUUGCAGUUAUGCCCAAGUUAUGCAAUCCAAAUGUUUCUCUGUUUAAAGUUGGCAGUAAUUCAUGGAUUUUAGAUAGUGGAGCUUCUGAGCAUAUAACCUCUAACAAAAUCUGCCUAAACCUAUUUUGGCUACUCUUCCUAAUUCACAUAGAGCUACUGUGACUCAUUCGGGAUCUGUGAAACUCUUACCUAAUUUAAUUCUUCACAAUGGCCUCUAUAUUCAAUCUUUCAACUGGCCCUUCACCGAAGAGACCUCUGGAGGUUGGUAAGGAAUAAGGAGGUCUAUACAUUUUCAAGUCUAUUCAACAAGCAGUUUCUAAUAGACUUUUUAUUCUCAGUCAUGGUGAUCCAGAAGUUCUCCCCACAAAAAGUCUAUCUAGUUUAUGUUCUUCCAAUUCUGUUGCAAAUGCUUUUACUUCAUGUUCUAGUUUUUUUUUAAUUCAAAUGUAAAAGAAAAGCUAUGGCACUGUAGAUUAGGCCAUAUGCCUUUGAGUAAUAUGAACAAUGUAGCUCCAGCUUCUUUGUCAUGUUCCAGAUCUUCCUCUCCUAGUAUUAUUUGUCCCAUGACAAGACAAUCUAAAUUACCUUUUCCUAA